rnacentral:lncRNA from 1 species
AGAUCAAUAAAAGGAACUUGUAUUCAACUGAAAUAAUUCUCUGGAAACAUUCAAGAUACAAUUUAAAUGACAAAACAAUUGCCAACCGAAUAAGGAAAAGAAAGAAACAACAAAUUAAGAAUUAAAUUCUUUGAUAUCAUGCCUUCAACUCAAGACCCUUGAGAUUAUGUUGUGUUUGAAGUUUAAUAAUAUGGAGGAGGUGGUGAUGGAGAAGGAGUUGAAGAUGAUUGAUAAGAGUAAGGAGGUGGUGGUGAUGGUGAAGGGGGAGGGGGUGAAUUAUAGUAGUAUGGCGGUGGAGGUGAAGCUGAAGGUUUCUUGUAGUAGUCAUUCUUCGGUAAAGAUGGCACUUUGUAUUCUUGUUUAGGCAUUGAGGGUACCUUGUAAUAGUCAGUUUUUGAAACUGAUGGCUUUUUAUAGUAGUCAUUCUUUGGAACUGAUGGCUUUUUGUAGUAGUCAUUCUUUGGUACAGAUGGAAUCUGGUAUUCCGAUUUAGGCACCGAGGGUGCCUUAUAGUAGUUAUCCUUUGGAACAGAAGGCACCUUGUAGUUAUUCUUUGGAGCUGAUGGCUUUUUGUAAUAGACAUUCUUUGGUACAGACGGCACCUGGUAUUCCGGUUUAGGCACUGAGGGUACCUUAUAGUAGUUAUCCUUUAGAAUAGAAGGCACCUUGUAGUUAUUCUUUGGCACUGAUGGCUUUUUGUAGUAUUCAUUCCCGGGUACAGAUGGCACCUUGUAUUCCUGUUUAGGCGUUGAGGGUGCCUUGUAAUAGUUAUCUUUUGGAACUGAUGGUUUCUUGUAGUAGUCGUUCUUUGGCAAAGAUGGCGCCUUGUAUUCCUGUUUAGGCACUGAAGGUACUUUGUAGUAGUUAUCUUUUGGAAGAGAUGGCACCUUCUUGUAGUUAUAUUCUGGAACAUAUGGUUUCUUGUAGUAGUCAUUCUUUGGCAAAGAUGGCGCGUUGUACUCCGGCUUAGGCAUUGUAGGUGCCUUGUAGUAAUUAUCUUUCGGAACAGAUGGCACCUUCUUGUAGUUAUCUUUUGGAACCGAUGGCUUCGUGUAGUAGUUAUCCUUUGGCAAAGAUGGUGCCUUGUAUUCUUGUUUAGGCACUGAGGGUACCUUGUAAUUGUUCUUCGAUACUUGUGGCACUUCGUAAUUGUCUUUUGACACUGGUACUUGAUUAUAUGACGGAACUGGUGAUUUAUAAGAAUCGGGUGAAUAUGCCAUAGUGCAAGUUGCAAUAAAGAAAAAUGCUAAAGCACAAGCUAAUUGAUGCCAUUGCUUCUUCAUUUGGCUCCCCAUUGAGAAGAUUUAGGUUCUAAGGCUGAUUGGAUUGUUGUUUUUCUUUUUUGUGUAUUUGAGAAUGGUGUAACUAGGAAUUUAUAUAGCCUAAAGUCCUAAACUAAGAAAGUGACUAGAUGAUUUGGAUGCUUAAAAUAAUCCAAACUCAUCCGAGUUUUUACCCAUGUUUUGGUUAAUGCUGUUCCACUAAGUUGUUGAGAUAAUGGAGAGCCAUGAACAAAUCACAACUUUGCUUGACUAACUGAUAUGAAAAAAAUUAAAAAUUCAAAGUUUUAUUGACUUUCCAGAAAAUGGUUUCAUGUCUACAUACAUUUCUAAACUAGUGGCAAUCAAGCUGGAAUAACAAUUCCUUAUUACAUUUCUGGUACAAUUUUUCAGUUAGUGUUUAAUUCUCUUAACAAAUUGGAAAGGGAAAAGAUAUAAUAAAAAGCGCUUCAAAAAGCGCAACUUAGUUAUCAGUUUUGUGAAAGAGUCCACUACUGGAUUACCUAAUUAAUUCACGUAGUACUCGUGUCUAAUAGGUCUAACGUGAAUAUUUUAUGUGAAUUCUUCAAAAUUUAUACAUUAAAAGUUGAUAAAAAUGUAUACAUGUAUCGAUCUAUAUUAGAUAUUUACACAAAAGCGUAUCGAAUAUGUAUGUAUCUGCCUAACAAAUGUUCAUUAUUUGAUGUCAGAAUCAAUUGAGUUGGAAUAUUGUGUCCAUUAUAUGUACUUGAUGCUGCAGAUACCUUAAGCACGACUUAUAAUUCACAUCACAGGGCUAUGAUUUUAUCGUGAAGAAAUAAGAACGAUAUGGUGGGAUGAAUGAGAUCCUCGACGUUUAACUAGACGUCUCAAAUUUGAACCUUGAAUAAACAAAACGAAAAUGAUACGGUACUUUGAUAAAAGACCAUAUAAUGUUUGGACUUUCUCUGCAUGGCUGAGCUAGUUUUUGUGGCGAGGCAAGUCAAAAAAUGUAGAGGGACAAGACUUAGCUAAUAUAUGGUAACUUAUAAUUAAUGGAUAAUUGCUUAUGGAUUACCAUAAGAUCUAGACAUAUAAAAAUCACAAUCUCAUUUAAGACAUGAAGUUUUAUUUUUAUGAAUUUGAUUUUUGAGGUUUUUAGCUAAAUUCAUUUUACUAAUAAAAUUAUAAUUUCUUAGCUAGGAGUAUUUAAUAUUUAUUAGAAAUUUUUUAAGAUUUCACAUAAAAAUCGACACCCCGCAUCAAAAGUACUAUGUUCGAAUGAAUCCGAUAACGAACAUCAGUGGCGAAGCCACAUGGUCACUAGGUCAAAAAAUUACACUGUGUAUAUAGCUAAAAUAUUACGUUUUAGAGGUAUAUAACACAUAUUGAACACCCUUUGUUGGGAAUUUUUUUUCACUUCUUUCAAAUUUGAAUACCCUUGGGAAAAUUCCUAGUUUCGCCAGUGAUGAAUACUGAAUCUGUCUCUAGGUACAAUAUCACCAUUACCUUUUUGUUAUGAGAUAAAAGAUUAUUGAUAUUGUUGCAAAUAUAAGUUAGUAUAAUUAUGUUAGUCUCCUCGUAGGAUUGAUUAUUUUUAGUCGUAGUACCAAGUGAGCAACCAUUGGUCUCCUUGCCAAAUCUAGAUAUACUUCAAGCUAAUGUUGUUCCAUAACUAAGUGCAGUCAAUAGGCUUAAAUAUUGUGAAUAGAACCGGAGGCGGAUCUAGGAUUUUAAGAAUACGGUGCAUUACUAAAAAAAGGAGAAAAAAAAUAUUAAGUGAGAAUUGAUCUCUGUUCUUUUGGGUAAAUAACUCAAUAUUCAACCAAAUGCACCAUUCAACCUUUGUAGAGCGUGAGUGUCAACAAAUAAUAUUAGACUAAUUCUAAAAAAUACAUACAUAAAAUACCUAGAUUGGUGGAUUAACUAUGGGUUCACGUGCCCCAUUAACAAACCUAUAAAUCCGACCCUGAAUAGAGCUGAUCAAAAUCUGAAUUAACGCAAGUGAAUUGCGAGAAAGGAGAGUUAAAUUAACCAUUUUGUUCCAAAUCGUGCAAUUUUAUUAAGGAAUAGGCAAAUGUCAGACUGAUAAGUAGUACAUAAAUUCUAGAUAAAAAGAAUUUGCAUUAAUUUGAACAAAUAUUCUCAGAAUUCAAUAGUGAGACAUACAAUAAAAUGGAAAAACAUGAGCUGCAACCAACCCCAUAAAAAUAUAAAUAAAAUACAGAUAAUGAAUAAAUACAAAUUUCUGUAUCAUGCCUUCAACUCAAGACCCUUAAGAUUAUGUUGUGUGGGAAAAUGGCCUUCUCGAAACAUGUUGAACAUGAAAGAUGAGAAUUUAAUAAUAUGGAGGAGGUGGUGAUGGAGAAGGAGUUGAAGAUGAUUGAUAAGAGUAAGGAGGUGGUGGUGAUGGUGAGGGGGGAGAGGGUGAAUUAUAGUAGUAUAGCGGUGGAAGAGAAGGUGAAGGUUUCUUGUAGUACUCAUUUUUUGGUAAAGAUGACACUUUGUAUUCUGGUUUAGGGAUUGAGGGUACCUU